rnacentral:rRNA from 1 species
UGAGGAAUAUUGGUCAAUGGUCGGGAGACUGAACCAGCCAAGCCGCGUGAGGGAUGAAGGUACAGAGUAUCGUAAACCUCUUUUGUCAGGGAACAAAAGGCGCCACGCGUGGCGCUCCGAGUGUACCUGAAGAAAAAGCAAUCGGCUAACUCCGUGCCAGCAGCCGCGGUAAUACGGAGGAUGCGAGCGUUAUCCGGAUUUAUUGGGUUUAAAGGGUGCGUAGGCGGCGAGUUAAGUCAGCGGUAAAAGCCCGGGGCUCAACCCCGGCCCGCCGUUGAAAACUGGCUUGCUUGAGUUGGAGAGAAGUAGGCGGAAUGCGCGGUGUAGCGGUGAAAAUGCUUAGAUAUCGCGCAGAACUCCGAUUGCGAAGGCAGCCUACCGGCUCUAGACUGACGCUGAGGCACGAAAAGCGUGGGUAUCGAACAGGAUUAGAUACC